CAAAGUGCUGGGAUUACAGGCGUGAGCCACUGCGCCCGGCCAAGUUUUGACUGUGUUUUGACUGAGAUGAGCCACAUGAGGUGAGAUGUGAAAUUCUCCACUUCUGGGGUCAGCACGGAGAAAGUUUCUGAUUUGGGAGCAUUUUGGAUUAUGUGUUUUCAGGUUAGAAGCGCUCAACCUACAUCCUAAGAAAGGUAAUGGCUUCCCCCUCCCUAGAAACGGUGGGGCAGGGGACAGAUUGUGGAGCAUUAGCACAUGACCUCUGAUUUAUCAUUUAACUGCAGCUACGAAAAUCUGUCUGCUCAGACACAACAUGAGAAGGGGAUGCUGAGGACGUGGAAGCAGCCUGUGAACCGGGCGUUCUCGGCAGCUGGUCUCUGCGGAGCUCACCAUCGUUCACAUGCAUCUCUGUCGAGCUCUGUGGGCUCGGAGCUGAGGAGCAGCCAUGUUAAGGAAAGCCAGGCUCACAGGCCCCCUCUGAGGCUUCGCACUCUGUGGCCAGAGGGUGACACAGAUGAUAGGCAUCCUCAUGUCACAUGAGAGGGAGCUUCCUCCAAGUGACGUAACCUGGGCAUCCGUCAUGGAGGAGGGGUGUUGAAUUUGGAAGCUUUCCCCUGGAGGAACCGCUUUGGCUCAGGCAUCAAGAGAUCACAGGUGACUAGUGACGGUCAUAUUGACUCCACCUAGUCCCGUCCUUUCUUGGUCUUUGAGCUGGUCCUUGGGGUCCUCAUGUGGGAUAGUGGGCUAGGCAGGGCUGGCCUCUCUGUGGUUGGGCUGGUCCCUAGGGUGCCUUGGUGGCACGGGUGGGUUGGCUCAUUGUGGAAGUGGAGUUCGGGGAACCUUGACUCCCUCUCAGCACAGCCUCCCCUGCCUGCCUCCCUGAAGCCGCCUGGAGCCUUGGGUCUCUCACUCUUGACACAGCCUAUUUCCAGCUGAGCCUGGUACCUUCUUUCUUCUUUCCAUGAUGCUUGUCCUCCUAAGACCCACUCGGUGUCAGGGACCACCCGCUCGGUAUUUCAAGGCUGAUGGGAAGCCCGAGCUGUGAGGGCGGUCCUGGUUCCCGGGCCUGGCGCAUCUGAGGUCGCAUGGACCUCAGCCCCACACCCCUCCUCUUGCUGCAGAGGCCCGCGCUGUCCUCACAGGAAGCGGACACAUCUCCCAAUCUGUAUGAGGCCUCCAGGCCAAGGGGGAAGCUUUCUCCAUAUUCAGGUUUUCCCCCAUGAAUGUUCUUAAACCUGAUGUAGCUGUUUCUGGUCUGCUAACUGGAGCCAGGGGAGAACAAAAUGGUAGCAACUGACUCAAGGGAGAGCUGCAGGGAGAAGCCGGCAUUGCCACUUCAAGGGAACAUCUGUCUUCAUGUUGGAGCCGCUGUGUCACCUGUAAACAGUGAACUUGAACUCUGCCCUGCAUCACUGCAGUGCCGGCCCUGCAGGCUCCCUCCUGGGCAGCAAAGCCUCGGCAGCAAGACGCCUGUCCACCAGGCCUGCGCGUGAAACCAGGCUCAGCUCUGAAGAGGGGAACUGAUGGAGGGGACCAGCCACGGGGACGCCAAGAAAGGCCUAUUUGAGAAUUAGGAACAAACAGAGUUUCAAAGACCAUUUGCUUCCCUGGCCCCUCUGGGAGUGAAGUGACUGUACCAAAUCCUUCCACGUCCUCCCGCACCACUCGCUUGGCCAGAGGAGCAUCUGGCUUUUCCCUGGACGCACCCCACCCUCUCCUCAUGAUCUUGUCCUCUUCAAGGAGGACCAGGCCUCCCUGUCCUACACCCCACAUCCCUGGGAAAUCACUGUCGGGGCUGCCCCAGCCACUAUUUCACCCUGGCUGAGCUCAGCUGCUACUUCUGGGCUCCAGGAGGACCCUGCACCCCUCACGAUGCUCUUGUUCUCAUCACAGUCGUCCCUUUGGGAACACGUGACCUCUGCCCCUCCUUCACAUGCUGCCCACUGAGCUCAGCCACGGGGUCCUUGAUUGCACGGACUUUGCACCCAGGGCCUGUGCAAGGCCUGGCGGGCAGCCGCCCACGAGGGGCGCUUGUUCCAUGGAUAAAACGCCCUCUAUUCUGCCUCUCCUCGUGCCCCUUCCUUUGAGGGCUGCUCCAGGAAGGCUCAGAGCCACCAGCCAGUUCUCCCGCCUGGGAAUCCUGAGGGCUUCGUGUCUGCAGCAUCCAUUUUCCUGCCCUUUCAGAGUCUUCCAGACAAAGGAGCUACAGAGCUAUAGCUCAUUGGUUUAUUUUAGCCUCUAGUGGAAGGACACUGGACAGAUGUCCUUUGAUUUGAGGACACACACCUUUGGAUCUGAGCUGGCUCCGUGCCCCACUGGAGCCCACACAGUGACUGUGGCCACCGCUGCUGGGAAGCCAGGACCCACCAUCACGGACAGUUUCUCCACUGUCUGGAGAAUGGAAAGUCCAGGACCAAGGCAUCAGCAGAUCUGGUGCCUGAUGAGAGCUGCCAAGACCCUAGCUAGGCCCAGGCCCAGUGCUAAGCCACCAGGCUUCCAAGAUGGCGCCUCCUUGCUGUGUCCUCCCAUGGCAGGAGGGAGCAAGGGCUAAGAGGGCCUAGCUGGUUCCCUUCGGGCCUUCCAUGAGGUCGCUCAUUCCAUCCAUGAGGGCUCUGCUCUCAUCACUUCACAUCUCCUAAAGGUUUCACCUCUUCAUAUCGUCCUAUUGGGGCUUAGCUUCCUACUUUGGGGUUUUGUGGGGACUCACGUAUUCAUGCCCUAGUGUGACCUAAUGUGACAUCACGCCUCUCCCCUCCCAGCUGGGUUGCGGUGGAGACAGCCAGCUGUCCCCUUAAGAUGCCCACCCCCCACUUGGAGGAGGUCUGAAGUGGAAAGUGGCUAGGGAGGCUGCCAUCACAUUUCCCAGGCUGCCCCCAGGGCUAGCGCUCGCCGGCGGGAUGUGAGCAGAAGCAGCAGUUAGGAGAGUGCCUUCCCCACCUCCCGGCCCCUACUGGCCUCUGGAUUCCAACCUCUCUGAAACUCGGUAUGGCAGGGCCACAAACCAGAAGCAGAUGUGUCCCUGAAUCGUUUGCGGUGACCCACAUUCAUCCUCAUGGGAGAGACGCACCAUCUUCGAAUGUGAACGGUUGACAUGACGGGGGCGUUUUCCCAUGAGGCUGAGAAGUCCUGUGCAUGCAUUCCCUUAAAAUAGAGACGUGAGCACCUGUGAUUGGGGCCAGCUUGGAUGUUCUACCAGAGGCAGUUUGCUGUCUGGUCAAAGAGGUCUUAGGGUGCUUUUUUGUCAUCAGCCUCAUUAAACAGUGAGCUGAUCUUAAGUGACGAGACCAUGAAGGUCACCACUGUGACAUACUGGAAGUCUUUUUUUUUUUGAGACGGAGUCUCACUCUGUCACCCAUGCGAGAGUGCAGUGGGACGUACUGGAAGUCUUAAGUGAGGUCAUCUACCACCCAGCUGUGCUCUGUAACCCAGAGAGCGCAGCUCGGAGGGCUGAAGACAGGUAUACGCAUAUCCAUGAACACUGUCACUACUCCUGAGAAGGCGUCACUGCUGUCAUUGAAAAGCUUUGAGGGCUGUUGUCUAUGGUUCUUGAAUUUGUAAGUGGAAUUCCUGGCAGCUGUGUGAUAAAUCAAGCACAUCGGUGUCGGCGUGACCUUUGACUUCUGUCCCCACAAUCUGUGAACCAGAAUAAACCUCUUCACUCAAACUUCCACUUAGGAUGGCACCUGGUUAAUAUGAAUCAUGAAGCAAUCAAAACUGAGGUGUACGUUUCCACAGACGGCAGACUUAAUUAUUUAAGUGUUUCUUUUUUCUAAAUAAACUGUAAAAAAUGAACAUAUUUUAUUUUAAAAAUGGAAACAAUUUAGAAGCUUAUAGAAUCAAGCUCCUCCCAACCCUAUUCUUCUCAUAUUGGAAACUUCUAUUGAUAAUCAGAUAAUCAGAAUAUUUCCAGUGUAUUCCAUGCAAGCCUAUGGAUUCCUGAAAAUGUGGAGAGGAUGUUAUUGACUUGAAUUCCGCUACGUUACUGUUUUACUUAGCAGUGUACCUUAAAGACCAAAAUGUAGUGAACUUGAAAAAAUCUGUUUUUUAUUUUUAUUUUUUUUUGGAGAUGGAGUCUUGCUCUGUCACCCAGG
rnacentral:lncRNA from 1 species